CAACUUCCAUGUAAAACGGCGCCGUUUGGUGAAGCUCCACCAAUCAGGUUUUAAGUCUCUUUCGGGCCAUGGCUACGGGCCUAAAUUGUUGGGGCAGUUCGAUGAAGGGAGAAUCGAAGAGUUCAUUCAUGCAAGGUUUGGGACGAGGUAUUCACGUAAUGCAGUUUGAUAUGCUCAAACUCGGUUGGGGUCGUGUUUCUUCGAUAUGAUCAACUAAGCCCUCUGAUCAAUGUUUUAGUUAUGGCUUUUAAUUUUCUAUCGUAGAUAUGUGUAGACAUUAUUUUCUUCUGCUUUGCUGAAAAUGAUUAACUCAUUAUUUGGAUCAAUCAUAAUCCAACCAUGAACAGCAGUUUAAAAACUUGCAAGCUGCCUCUUUUAGCAAA